UACAGAGGGUGCAAGCGUUGUUCGGAAUUACUGGGCGUAAAGCGUGCGUAGUCGGUAUUGAGAGUCGCGGGUGAAAUCCCAGGGCUUAACCCUGGAACUGCCUGCGGGACCUCAGUACUAGAGUGUGAGAGGGGAUAGUGGAAUACCAAGUGUAGCGGUGAAAUGCGUAGAGAUUUGGUAGAACACCGGUGGCGAAGGCGGCUAUCUGGCUCACAACUGACGAUCAGGCACGAAAGCGUGGGGAGCAAACAGG
rnacentral:rRNA from 1 species